GGGCAUUCAAGGGCUUCCCGGGGAUUCCAGACCCCUUCAACUUGGCAGUAGCGUGUUGGUGUAUAUUUCUAGGUCUUCAAAGAUGAUUUAUACCGCUAGUCCCUGCAGCUCUGUGCCCUGUGAUCACGCCGGGGGGACGGCCCCUUCCCUCCACACCGCCCAUCCCUGAGCCAAGAAGAUUCCUCUUUUUCCUCGUGAUUUCUUCUAUUGCUUGGAAACGUAUAAACCACUUGGGAAGUUUAAGAAAAGUGAAGGAAGUUAAGAAAAAUUUAUAAAUGCUUUUCCAGAAGGCUGGAUUCCUAGAAGACGGGGAUUUAUGGUGUGAGAGCUCCAGCCCCCGCAAACCCACAGCCAAGGUCAACAGCACGAGGCGGGCAGCCCUGCCAAGC
rnacentral:lncRNA from 1 species